CGCGAAGACUAUUGGCAUGCUGCCACUGAAAUUUGAUCACACAUGGUUCAGCGCCUUCAAGGUGUUUGAUGUUUUGGCUUUGUAUAAUAAUUCUGGCUAAUUGCAGCUAAAUUUCUGGUUACUUGUGUGGUCCAUUGCUCCAGUAUAGAACUUGGAAGCUGAAGCAUAUAUUUUUCAAAUCCAGCAAAGGAGGAGGGAAUAUAUGCUCUUCAUUAUUCUCGUAUGUCGCUUCAAAAUGUUCUAAACAAGCAAAA